rnacentral:lncRNA from 1 species
GUCAAUGAAUCCAAGUUGUUUUUGUUUUGUUUUGUUUUCAUUAUGACAAAAUGGUGGCAGCCAUUCUAGACUGACACGCCACAGCAGCUGGAAGAAAGACACGAUCUUUUCCUCUGAUGCCUCUCUCAGAAGCCACUGUACCAGCCUCUGGAGGAAAUGCAAGAGACCUUCCAGACCUGAUCACCACACCCUAUUCAUAAUCUCGCCAUGGAGAAGAGACAUCCACUUAUGAAGCCAGCAGAACAGAUGUGGGCAACUUUCAAAAACGAAGUAACAAAUGGUCAGCUCCUGUUCUUCUGUAGUGCUGAGGAUGGAAGGAGAAAGAGUUCACACAGAAUGGGACCCUAGCGAUAUGAAAGUCAAGAAAAAGAAUGACAAUGAGAACUUGUGAUGUCCAUGAAUUCAAAGAAGAAAAGGGAGAGUGGUUUUACACCUUCUCCACCACCUAACCCCAAUCCUACUACCUAUAAACCU